rnacentral:lncRNA from 1 species
GGCCAAUUAGCCGAAAAAUGCCGUCGAAACCCAGCGGCACCGUCGCAGGUUUUCUCAAUUUUUGCCUCCGAUGAGGCAUUUCCUGAUUCCCGUUCGAUGUAAUUUUUAUACCACUGUGACCACCGUCCUUUCCUCUACAGGUUGACCGGAGCAAAAAUACCAAAUCACGACUCGCGCCGGAGGAGUUGUCGCACCCGAGAGCUCCGCCGCCGAUAAGUCUCAGUUUUUUGAGUUUUUUCGACCCACCGAGGGCCUU